AGCUGAGCUGUUAGCAUUAGCAAGCAUGAGCGUUGGUAAUGUUUACAUUACUAUAUCUGACAUACUGACGAGCCUUCUACGCUAUUAAUGGAGCCAUGAGCCACUCAGCCCGUCCCGUUUUACCAAAAGAAAAUUUAUGAGACUCACUGUGGGUUCUACAGUCCCAGGUAACACACUCUCCAUAAAAUGAUGUGUGUAUGUGAGCGUGUCAGAGACUCUUACAGUAAGAGGCGAGCUCCACAUUACUGUUGCUCCACUUCACUUCCUGGGAUAAUCCUUAACACAACAGAGGGAGCUGCAGGUGACCUGGACCAGCAGAGAUACACAAACUUUGGUCAAGGCACUUCAGCCUCCCCCUGCAGCCACAAUGAUUAAAACUUCUCGCCGUAAGACGGCAGCCAGCAGGAAUACCAAACAAUCAAAACAGGCAACAAUAUCUCCCAAAAUGUUUGGAGUCCUGAGAGCGGGUGUGGCCGUGCAAAGGUUGUCUCCAUGGUAAUAGAUGCGGGGGUCAUCUCCUACGAGGAUGGAUCAUCGCAGGGGGGUGGAGAGGUGGCCGCCAAGGUCGCGGACCAAGGACAAGGCGAGAGUGAUUGCAGCCACCCAGACAGGAAAUCGAAGAGGAGCACUCCAAGUGGGGGGUCGAGGAAAAAGGUGCAAUUUCACAAGCCAAAUUACUUCUGGGAUGGAGGAGAGAAAAAUAUC